rnacentral:rRNA from 1 species
AUGAUCGACCUCGGGCGCAACUACCUCCUCGCGGAAGGUUUCAUCGUCAACACCAUGGACGCGUUAGAGCACGAGACGCUGCUGGCGUUCAAAGAGCUUUCUGACAAGGGCGUGUACCCGCCAGCAUACGCUGUGGGUCGAUUCACCCGGCAGCGGUGCCCCGACUCUGACGAGGCCAAGCACAGCUGCUUACGGUGGCUGGACAACCAGCCGGAUGACUCGGUCUUGUACGUGUCCUUCGGCAGCGGCGGCACGCUAUCCAUGGCGCAGACGGCCGAGUUGGCGGCUGGGCUGGAGGCGAGCGGGCAGAGGUUUCUCUGGGUGGUGCACCACCCCAACGAAAAGGACAGCAGCGCGGCCUACCUCGGCACUGCCGCAAGGAGAUGGGUCUGCCUGGGUACGUCUUCUACACCUGCCCGAAGGGUUCGUCGAGAGGAUGAGCGGCACAGGGCUCCUUGUGCCACUGUGGGCGCCGCAGGUGGAGAUCCUUAA